rnacentral:rRNA from 1 species
UACGGAGGGUGCGAGCGUUGUCCGGAAUCAUUGGGCGUAAAGGGUCCGUAGGUGGUUAGUAAAGUUAGAAGUGAAAGGCUAUAGCUCAACUAUAGUAAGCUUUUAAAACUGUUUAACUUGAGAGAUGGAAGGGAAAGGGGAAUUCCUAGUGUAGCGGUGAAAUGCGCAGAUAUUAGGAGGAAUACCGGUGGCGAAGGCGACUUUCUGGCCAUUAUCUGACGCUGAGGUACGAAAGCGUGGGUAGCAAACAGG